UAUGACUGUCUCUUUACAAUUUCAUAGAAUUUUAUAUCUAGGUGAAGAAGCCUAGUUAUGAUUAAAAGACAAGAAGACCCUAUCGAGCUUGAAAGAAGUCAAUAGGCUAUUUCAUAUUAUAUGAUUAAAAAUUUUUCUAUUAAAGAUUUUAGUUGGGGCUACNNNNNAACAAAAAAAGCUUCCUUUAAAUAACAAAAAUAUCUACAAGUAGUGAUCCAAAGAUUUUGAUUAAAGAAAUUAGUUACCGUAGGGAUAACAGCAUUAUCUUUUUUGAGAGUUCUUAUCGAAAAAAGGGUUUGUGACCUCGAUGUUGGACCAGAAUAUCCUAAAGAUGCAGCAGUCUUUAAGGGUUGGUCUGUUCGACCAUUAAAAUUCUACG
rnacentral:rRNA from 1 species